UACGUAGGUGGCAAGCGUUGUCCGGAUUUAUUGGGUUUAAAGGGUGCGUAGGCGGGGAAUUAAGUCAGUGGUGAAAGCUGGUAGCUCAACUAUCAUAUUGCCAUUGAAACUGAUUUUCUCGAGUACGGUUGAGGUAGCUGGAAUGUAACAUGUAGCGGUGAAAUGCUUAGAUAUGUUACAGAACACCAAUUGCGAAGGCAGGCUACUAAACCGUAACUGACGCUGAGGCACGAAAGCGUGGGGAUCAAACAGG
rnacentral:rRNA from 1 species